rnacentral:rRNA from 1 species
UGGGGAAUAUUGCACAAUGGGCGCAAGCCUGAUGCAGCCAUGCCGCGUGUGUGAAGAAGGCCUUCGGGUUGUAAAGCACUUUCAGCGGGGAGGAAGGCGGUGAGGUUAAUAACCUCAUCGUUUGACGUUACCCGCAGAAGAAGCACCGGCUAACUCCGUGCCAGCAGCCGCGGUAAUACGGAGGGUGCAAGCGUUAAUCGGAAUUACUGGGCGUAAAGCGCACGCAGGCGGUCUGUCAAGUCGGAUGUGAAAUCCCCGGGCUCAACCUGGGAACUGCAUUCGAAACUGGCAGGCUAGAGUCUUGUAGAGGGGGGUAGAAUUCCAGGUGUAGCGGUGAAAUGCGUAGAGAUCUGGAGGAAAACCGGGGGCGAAGGCGGCCCCCUGGACAAAGACUGACGCUCAGGUGCGAAAGAGUGGGGAGCAAACAGG